UUUUCCUCUGCAAUUCUCCCCUGCAACGCCCAACAACACUCACUCAUUCACUCACCCACUCUUUCUCUUCCUCACUCCCUUUUUUAUCUUCUCAACGCAACAAACCAACAUAACAUCAUCAUCACAAAAAUCCCAAAAUCCAAAGCCAAACCAAAAAGUUGCAGGUUGGACUCGAGAGGGAAUUACCAUGGUAUUCACCUCCAAUCCCUUAUCUCUCAGCGUCCCCGACCCUUUCUUUGAGUCAUGGCUCCACGACAACGGCUACCCAGAAAUCAUCGACCAGCACACCUCCACCGCCAUCACCACUUCCUCCGCCACCACCGUUGACACAAACUCGAUCACAAACGGCUUCUUCAUCUUACUCUUCUCUCGCAUUUUCACCAUUCUCUCUCUCUUCACCAUUAACCCCUUCUCCAAGCUCACCAACGACGACUUUGCUGCCCACACACCGCCGUGGACCACAACCUUUAUUGGGUCCUCUGAAUCCUACUUUUUCCCUGUCUAUCCCUCUGUCUGUUCGUGCUCUUCUUUGCUUGUUCUUUGUAUGCUCUCUCCCUCUCUCUCCCUCUCCCUCUCCCUCUCUGUGUGUAUGUAUAUGUAUGUAUUUUAAUUAUUGGGUGAGUUUUUAACUCAUGAGACUUGGAGCAGGAAAUCGAAAGGUCGAGAGCAGAGCUAAAUCAGUGGGGAUGAUUACGUCGGACUAACGAUGGUCAGAUCUGUUGUGAAUGGGGAUAGGUGUGGGUUAACAGCGAAUCAGACGGAUGAGAGAGGUCGGAUGAGGGACUGGGUGUAGAGAAAGUAGGAGGGUGAUGGGUGUGUAGGUGGGGAAGGGGAUCUAGGUGUGGGCUUGGUUUUUUUUUGUUUCUUCAGUGGGGUGGUGAAGAUGAAGGAAGCGAGGCGACGAUGGGGUGGUGAAGGAUGGAGGAAGGUUGGGGGACGGGGCAGGGUUUGGUGGUUAAGGGAAGGCCGGAUCCCUAGGUCUUUAUUUUUUAAUAUUUAAUUUUUUUAAUCCAGUUAGUGGACUCCGUCUCUAGCCACGUCAGCAGUUAAUAGAGAAAUUAACAGAAAAACUGACGGAGGUAUGACAUUGGCACAAAUUCGUAAGAUGUCGUAUAACAUUGUCACUUUUAAAAGAUGGGGUAUGAUAAUGUCGUUCGACCCAUGUCAGCAAUUAAAGAUUACAUUUAUAACUAUCAGUCACAUUGUAUAACGUGCGACGGUUUGGCCGAGUGGUCUAAGGCGCCAGAUUUAGGCUCUGGUCCGAAAGGGCGUGGGUUCAAAUCCCACAGCCGUCAGAUUUUUUUUAUUUUUAUCCUCUUUUGCUUUAACAACUCUAUCGAAAAAAGGAUUGUAAUGAGUCCCGCUGUGCCAAAAAUUUUCUGCCCACUCUUUGCCUGCAUUUUGGUGAGGACUAGGGGCUGGGCAUAAAAACUGCAUCGGUAUGAAAAAAAAAUUGAAAAAAAACCGUGAUAGCUCAGACACUUCGUGCUCCAUGACAGCUCAUACAGUUCUUUGGUAUUUUCUCUAUCUAUUCUCAUAUUUGAGAUUAGGAAUAUGGUUGAGUUCCACUGGAAGUGUGAAUCUGAUCAAACUUCCAUUGAUAUAUGAUCUAAAAGCAUUGUUAAAAUCUUUUGACAUAAUGUUAAGGAAGUAUGCAGUUUAAGCUAAUUCAAUGGUACAAGAGUCUGAUAUAAGGAAGCACUUAAUCUUUACAAAUUUUGGUCUUAGAAAUUUUAAUAUUUUUAAUUAGAAAAUUUUGGUCUUUUUCCUUAUUCUCGGGGAUUCAGGAAGGGGUGGUGGUGAUGCUUCCAGCACUGGGACUACUCAAAGGUUAGUUGAUCUUGUACGUUAAUUCUAUUUUUACUCAUUGUGUAUAGUUGCUUAUCCCAUUUUGUAUUUUGUAUUUCUAUUUAUUUGGUUCUCAGAUGGGCUUCAUUUGAGCACACUAUCCGUUAUUUUGUAUCUCAGAUGGGCUUCAUUUUGUAUUUUUACUCGUUGUGUUAUCUCUCUUUUUCAUGGUUUUUCUAGUGAAAUAAAAUGAGUAUUGGAGAAUGAUUUUUGGUUUUUAUUUGGUUUUAUUUGAUUUGUUUUUAAAUCUACCAUGCUCCUUCUUGGCGUUCAACUUAAAUAAACCUCCUGACAAGCUUGACUGUUUAUUGAUUCUCUUAAUUUAAUUGGUAUCUUUGGAUUGGGGAUAUAUUCUUUUCACCGAGUAAUGUGACAUACUGAAUAACUUUUCAGAGAAGGGUUGAUGUCAUACAAACAAUUUAUUCAGCAACCUUCCUGUUUAGAGUAAUUAUUCCUCAAUUGCUUUGCAGAGGAGUUGCUGCUUGCUCUCUGUCUGAAAUAAACCUGCAGUUUGCUUCUUCAUUUUUUUGUUUGUUGACCACCGACCAAUAUACUUGGUCAAGAUUGGUUACAAGGCAAAUGAAAAAAGCAAAGAAAUUUUGGUAUUGGACAAGCAUUUUGAUACCACAAAGAUAAUAUGUCUACCGACUUUUGUUGCAUUGUCCAAUCAAUUAUGUGCCAAGAGACUCAUGACACAUAUGGCCAAGUUUGCUGACCAAUGUAUAUUUCUUUUAGUUGUCUCUUUUUGUUGACUUGUUGCCACUACCAAAGAUGUAACUUUAUAUAAUCAGUUUUAGAAGAUAUAUUUGAAUGCAAGAUGAUUUGGUGUUCAAAUAA